rnacentral:lncRNA from 1 species
CACUUUCCUUCUGGCCAAGAAGGAGCCCGAAUGCAACCAAGAUUGGAAGAAGUUGAGAAGGACAUAAUCAUGGAGGACACAAAGGCUAGGCUUUGAAGGACUAGUAGGAAAUUGGGAAAGCAGCAGGAUGGGAAGAGAGCAUUCUACAUAUUCUGGGGAAAGAUGUUGGAAUGAAGGCAGCAGAGGGACAAGGACAAAAAUACGACAGACCAUGCCAGAAAAUGUCUAUCACCUACUAGCAGCAUCUCAUUGAUGUUUUGACAUAGGGAAGAUGUGGAAUCUCUGGAACCAAUGAAGAGAACUACACUCUGAAAGUUCAAUGUACAGUACAUGGGUCUGUUUUUCCAGAAAAUAACAUGUAUUUUUAGGGCUUUUGUACUCCUGUAGUUUAGAAUAAAACAUGACUGUCUCCUAAGUGGAAUAAAGGGAAGUGUGUAUUCUGGAUCCUUAAGGGAAAGAUCAGCUGAAGCAAUCUGGACCCCAUCCUCAUGAGACCAGAUCUUAUGAGCAAGGGCUCUGAACCAUAUUUCUUCAAAGAUAAACUUCAAAAAAUUCUCAAUUCUUAUUUUAGUAAACAUUGAAAUUAUUUUAUCUUCUCACAAUGUAAAAUUAUUUCAAGUUUUGCUCAUUCUUUCAAAAUAUUUUGAUGAAUAGCAAUUCUAUAUUUAUGCAGGAUCUUAGUUACUUUCUUGUUGGUGGGACAAAAUACCUGACAUCCACAAUUUGAAGGAAGAAAGAUUUAUUUUGGCUUACAGUUCAAAAAGAUUUCAGCCCAUAGUCUGCUGACUCUCAGGCAGGAAGACAUGGCAGAGGUGCACAGCAAAAGAAAAGUACCUUUAUGGCAUGGCUGCAGGAUGCAGAGACAGAGAGAGAGAGG